UUCAUCAUUUUGCCAAUUGGGAAAUGUUCCAUACAAUAUUUGUGAUUUGUUCCAAGCCAUAAACCAUCAUCAUACCACCUUUACACCUCAUUUUGACCAAAGUUGCACAAGUUGUUAUUUUUUGCAAAUUGGAGCAUAAGAACAAAGCAAGGUACAGCCUUCCAUGUAUAACCAAAAACAGCAAAACAGGUUGUCCUUCUGCAGCAUUUCACAGGCCCAAUUCGUGCAAGCACACACCCUCCAC
rnacentral:lncRNA from 1 species